GAUGAACGCUGGCGGCGUGCCUAAUACAUGCAAGUCGUGCGAACAGACGAGGAGCUUGCUCCUCUGACGUUAGCGGCGGACGGGUGAGUAACACGUGGAUAACCUACCUAUAAGACUGGGAUAACUUCGGGAAACCGGAGCUAAUACCGGAUAAUAUAUUGAACCGCAUGGUUCAAUAGUGAAAGACGGUUUUGCUGUCACUUAUAGAUGGAUCCGCGCCGCAUUAGCUAGUUGGUAAGGUAACGGCUUACCAAGGCAACGAUGCGUAGCCGACCUGAGAGGGUGAUCGGCCACACUGGAACUGAGACACGGUCCAGACUCCUACGGGAGGCAGCAGUAGGGAAUCUUCCGCAAUGGGCGAAAGCCUGACGGAGCAACGCCGCGUGAGUGAUGAAGGUCUUCGGAUCGUAAAACUCUGUCAUUAGGGAAGAACAAAUGUGUAAGUAACUAUGCACGUCUUGACGGUACCUAAUCAGAAAGCCACGGCUAACUACGUG
rnacentral:rRNA from 1 species